rnacentral:rRNA from 1 species
UACAGAGGGGGCAAGCGUUGUUCGGAAUUACUGGGCGUAAAGGGCGCGUAGGCGGCCCGCUAAGUCGAACGUGAAAUCCCCAGGCUCAACCUGGGAACUGCGUCCGAUACUGGCAGGCUUGAAUCCGGAGAGGGAUGUGGAAUUCCAGGUGUAGCGGUGAAAUGCGUAGAUAUCAGGAGGAACACCCAUUGCGAAGGCAGCUCGCUGGGACGUUACUGACGCUGAGACGCGAAAGCGUGGGGAGCAAACAGG